rnacentral:rRNA from 1 species
UACGGAGGGUGCGAGCGUUAUCCGGAUUCACUGGGUUUAAAGGGUGCGUAGGUGGGCAGGUAAGUCAGUGGUGAAAUCUCCGAGCUUAACUCGGAAACUGCCAUUGAUACUAUCUGUCUUGAAUUUUUUGGAGGUAAGCGGAAUAUGUCAUGUAGCGGUGAAAUGCCUAGACAUGACAUAGAACACCAAUUGCGAAGGCAGCUUACUACGAAAUUAUUGACACUGAGGCACGAAAGCGUGGGGAUCAAACAGG